rnacentral:rRNA from 1 species
UACGUAGGGUGCAAGCGUUGUCCGGAAUUAUUGGGCGUAAAGAGCUCGUAGGCGGUUCGUCGCGUCGGCUGUGAAAUCCCGAGGCUCAGCCUCGGGUCUGCAGUCGAUACGGGCGGACUGGAGUUCGGCAGGGGAGACUGGAAUUCCUGGUGUAGCGGUGAAAUGCGCAGAUAUCAGGAGGAACACCGGUGGCGAAGGCGGGUCUCUGGGCCGAUACUGACGCUGAGGAGCGAAAGCGUGGGGAGCGAACAGG